rnacentral:lncRNA from 1 species
UUCCUUUCAAAACUGAAACCUAACAGAACUGAUUGGUACAUCCAAUUGAAAGUAAUCCACACCUGGGAGCAAAUAAACUAGAAAUUUGGUGAAACGUUUUCGUUGACAAGAAGGUAAACUGAAAAAUGCAUAGUCUACUCAAUUAUAUUGUUUCAGUUACAUCUUGAUUUUUUUUUCUGUGUAUAGGUAUGGAUUUGGUUGGACUUGGUUGGACUUAGCCUCAUAACUUUCAUCAUCAAUCAUACAACGUGUAGACUUUGACUGUAAAAUU